rfam:Zea mays cultivar B73 chromosome 9, whole genome shotgun sequence.
AUACCUUUCUCAGUAUUUUAGCUAAGAUGAAGUAUGGUAUAUGCAGUUUAAUAUAUGGUAUAUGGGCCAUAUGUCUACUUUAAUUUUAAAUAUAUUUUUUGUAGAGAGGGUCUAUCACACUGGCUUUCCACUAGUCCCUCGCGUGUCGUACAACCGUUUUACUAUUUCAUCAAAUAUGAUUGUUGUGUUGUCGCAACAAAC